rnacentral:lncRNA from 1 species
UUCACUACUGCUCUAUGUUACAUUAUCUUCAACUGGUAUGUUUUCUAUUUAAGUUACAACCACCAAAAUAAUAUGCUUCUAUUAGUGUUGCACUUCCUCUCAUUUCUUGUGUGCUUCUACUUAUGGUUCUGUUGUUCUUAAUCCCAUUUGCAUGUACUUAUGAUAAUUAGUAUGCCUAGCCUGACUUGGCAUGUUCACUAUCCCCUUUCCUAUCCCAAUGUAUGUUUUCCACACUCUUGUGCACUAUUAGCAUGUGCCCAGGACAUGCUUGGCCACUCCAUAGCCCUAAACCUCUUCAUGUGGUUGACUCUGUUUGAAGUCUUGUGCAUUAAGAACUAAACUCCUAAUUUGAAGGAUGCUUGAUUACUUCCCUUUGAGGUGUUAUACAUGUGUGAAUGGGUUCCUUGCUUAUGAACUAUUUGUUCCCUUUCCUUUGUUUGUGUGGCUCUUUGUUUUCAAAAUUGGUCAUCCUAAAUUGAUUUCAAAAGAACUCUUUCACUCUUCUAUUAUUGCUUUCUCAAAUUGUCUCAACUGUUUUCCAACUCAACUCAUUCUAAUUCUAUCACGAUCUCACUACUCUUAGAAAUUAGGUUCUACCCCCCUUAGUGUAAGCAUUGCUUUGGGAGCCUUGAGCAUCCAUUGAACUUUGAUGCACAAGGCUGGAAAUUCCACACUUGCACUUGUUAAUGAUAAUCCGUAUUGAGUUCCUGGUAUUGGCCAAGGGUUCAAAGGGACCCUUAGGGAACUUUACCACACCCAAACUCCGGUAAAGGCUGUGAAACUAAAGAAAUGAGGUUGGACAUUUGGGCAUGGCUGAAGUCUCCCUAUAGAAUAACUUAUUAUUUUUAUUCUUCACCACUGUAAUUUAAUUACUUGGUCUGUAAUAAGUAAAGAGCAAUGGGGGUUUAUAGUGAAAAUGGGAGGGUUAGGCAUGAUUAGUUAAGGAUGCUUGAUUACUCAAACCUAAUAUAUUUACCGUUCUCUUUCAUACUUCUGCAAUCUUGAAAUAUUUUACAUCUGUUCUUCUACCUCUUCUGUACGAAAAUUAUUUUACUAUAUAUUCUCGAAUGUGUUAAAAUUUUUGUUUUCUCCUGAUUCCUAAACUGUU